AUUGAACGCUGGCGGCAGGCUUAACACAUGCAAGUCGAACGGUAACAUGAAGAAGCUUGCUUCUUUGAUGACGAGUGGCGGACGGGUGAGUAAUGCUUGGGAAUCUAGCUUAUGGAGGGGGAUAACUACGGGAAACUGUAGCUAAUACCGCGUAGAAUCGAGAGAUGAAAGUGUGGGACCUUCGGGCCACAUGCCAUAGGAUGAGCCCAAGUGGGAUUAGGUAGUUGGUGAGGUAAAGGCUCACCAAGCCGACGAUCUCUAGCUGGUCUGAGAGGAUGACCAGCCACACUGGGACUGAGACACGGCCCAGACUCCUACGGGAGGCAGCAGCGGGGAAUAUUGCGCAAUGGGGGCAACCCUGACGCAGCCAUGCCGCGUGAAUGAAGAAGGCCUUCGGGUUGUAAAGUUCUUUCGGUAGCGAGGAAGGCAUUUAGUUUAAUAGACUAGGUGAU
rnacentral:rRNA from 1 species